rnacentral:piRNA from 1 species
GAGAGACUCUGACCAACAGCCUCUA